rnacentral:rRNA from 1 species
CCUACGGGAGGCAGCAGUGAGGAAUAUUGGUCAAUGGACGAGAGUCUGAACCAGCCAAGUAGCGUGAAGGAUGACUGCCCUAUGGGUUGUAAACUUCUUUUAUAUGGGAAUAAAACGUUCCACGUGUGGGAUUUUGUAUGUACCAUAUGAAUAAGGAUCGGCUAACUCCGUGCCAGCAGCCGCGGUAAUACGGAGGAUCAGAGCGUUAUCCGGAGUUAUUGGGUGUAAAGGGAGCGUAGGUGGAUUGUUAAGUCAGUUGUGAAAGUUUGGGGCUCAACCGUAAAAUUGCAGUUGAAACUGGCAGUCUUGAGUACAGUAGAGGUGGGCGGAAUUCGUGGUGUAGCGGUGAAAUGCUUAGAUAUCACGAAGAACUCCGAUUGCGAAGGCAGUUCACUGGACUGCAACUGACACUGAGGCUCGAAAGUGUGGGUAUCAAACAGGAUUAGAUACCCCGGUAGUC